rnacentral:lncRNA from 1 species
AUGAUUGGAUAAACUGUUCUUCAGAUUAUGAAAUGUUUCAAAAGUUGCAGCCCACUAAGUACAUUAGUACUUAGCCCAAAAAUACUUUCAAAUGUUUUUCAGGUUAGUGGCUGGUGCUGACGGGGCGAGCUGAGGCUAGGGUUCAACUCCGUAUUUUGUCCUCCGCUGUUACACUAGCUCUUUUAUCGUUUGUUUCUCUAAACAUAAGACCUUUAUGUAAAUCCUGAAUUAUGUUUCUUAUCGAGCUUAGACUCUCAACUUCUAUAUAUAUUUUGUUGAGCCGAGACUAUUAUUUCACAAGUAUUUCAUUCUAAAUGUUGGUUAUCAGAAGCAUGACACUAAACUUGUGAUCCAAAGGGGACUAGCC